rnacentral:rRNA from 1 species
UAGGCAGGUACAGCGGGAAGCCACCUGGCGACAGGGAGCGGAACCCGAAAGCCUGUCUCAGUUCGGAUUGGAGUCUGCAACCCGACUCCAUGAAGCUGGAUUCGCUAGUAAUCGCGCAUCAGCCACGGCGCGGUGAAUACGUUCCCGGGCCUUGUACACACCGCCCGUCAAGCCAUGGAAGCCGGGGGUGCCUGAAGUGCGCUGCCGCAAGGAGCGCCCUAGGGUAAAACCGGUGACUGGGGCUAAGUCGUAACAAGGUAAC